GGGAGCGGCGUGCCUCGGCGCCGACCCCCGCCACCUGGGAGAGUCUUUCCGGAACCAGUACCUGGCUCCAUCUGACCGUCCGCCCUGCCCUGCCGAGCUGCCGCGUGGCUCCUGGCCAGGCCCGUGGACACGGCGGGCGUGGCUCCCUGCGGCUGAGUGAAGCUGGGUCUGGCCUUGGCCUGGGCUGUCCUUCGAAUGCAGGAGGCUGUGGAGUGGCUAAAGGGGAGCCUCGUGACAGGCCAUGGCUUCCAGAAGUAAGCGCCGAGUCUUAGCAGUGAGGAAGUCUGCGUUGCGUGGGCACCCCCAGCAGUGCAGCGCCCCUGCCGGUUCCCUCCCGAGGAGGCGGCCAGCCCGUAGCUGAAGCCCUUCUGGCUGGAGGCCGGCCGCUCUCCAAGCAGCCCUUCCCAUCCUCGGGCAGCUCUGAGAGAGACUUCUCACCGGGAUCUGGCCACCUGGAGGCCAGCUGUGCGUCCUGUGUCCUCCGUGCCCCUGCCCUGUCCUCACAGCCAGUGAGUCACGAGCGUCCUCACCGUGCCCUUGGACGGCCUGGCACCCACGGCGCUGCAGCCCCGGGGCUCCGUCUGGCCGGGUCUCAUCCCUGCCGGUUUCUCCCCGCUUCGCCUGCCGCCACAGGGCGUCUUGGCAGCCCUGCCCAUCGAGCUGGUGGUGACCUUGCUCUCAGCUGAAACCCUGACCUCCGUCCGGCGGGCGUGGAGAAUUUUCAGUUUCGGAGGCUUCCCUGAGGAGCUGUGGUGGCACCAAGGCCCGCUGUCCUCCUCCUCCGGGUGGCUCUGUGGCCGGCCUCGAGCCCUCACGCCCCCGACAGACACA